rnacentral:rRNA from 1 species
AUUGAACGCUGGCGGCAGGCCUAACACAUGCAAGUCGAACGGUAGCACAGAGAGCUUGCUCUCGGGUGACGAGUGGCGGACGGGUGAGUAACGUCUGGGAAACUGCCCGAUGGAGGGGGAUAACUACUGGAAACGGUAGCUAAUACCGCAUAACGUCGCAAGACCAAAGUGGGGGACCUUCGGGCCUAACACCAUCGGAUGUGCCCAGAUGGGAUUAGCUAGUAGGUGGGGUAAUGGCUCACCUAGGCGACGAUCCCUAGCUGGUCUGAGAGGAUGACCAGCCACACUGGAACUGAGACACGGUCCAGACUCCUACGGGAGGCAGCAGUGGGGAAUAUUGCACAAUGGGCGCAAGCCUGAUGCAGCCAUGCCGCGUGUAUGAAGAAGGCCUUCGGGUUGUAAAGUACUUUCAGCGGGGAGGAAGGCGGUGAAGUUAAUAACUUCACCGAUUGACGUUACCCGCAGAAGAAGCACCGGCUAACUCCGUGCCAGUCGCCGCCGUAA